AUAUAAAGGCCCCUCCAACGGGCGUAGCCCUGGCAUUUCCUGAGUCAUCAUCGAGCGGUGAAGGCUGUAUCUCGCUCGCUGGUUCAAAGUGUUUUUCGAGUUUGCCCACGGGAUUUCCCUUCCGUCGUUCGACGCGAGAAACACGAGCCAGAUACAGUCUCACCGUUUGAGAUGGCAAUGGGACGGGCGGAGGGAGUUGCUGUUUGCAGCGAUGCUGGGGGCAUACCGCAGGGGAAACAGGGAUUCCAUGUUCUAGUCUCUACGCCAUUCACCAGUUUGGUUUGUAAACUGUAUCGGAACCAAUGUAUUUCUCUUUGCAGUUUCUAUUAUCUUCUUUAUUUAUUUUUUUACCAUCUUGAAACGAUACGAAUAUAUUGGAAGUUUAUAAUGAAUUCGUUUUGUUAAUAAUGCUUGAAGAAACAUUUGAUCUCGGAUAUUAUAUUUUUGUUUUUUCAGAGAGACACAACGCUUUUUGUUGAAAUAAUGAUAAUGAUAAUAAUUGUACAUUCGUUGUAGAUGUGUAAAUUUAGGAUGUACCUUGUAUUUAUGAUAUUUAAUCGAUAGAUAUAGUCGACAGAACUGAUUGUUAUUCCAAAGACUUUUAGGGAGAGCUUCUUUAGGUUUAAAUAUAUAUAUAUAUUUAUAGAAAGCGUGUUUAAUUAAAGAAAUAACUAAAAUCUGUACAAAGUAUUGUGAUACAGCAGAGAAGAGAAGAAACGAUUUUAAUACAAUAAAUGUGGACAAAGAAAAGUUGACAAAUUUA